AGGCAGCCCCUUUGUCCGAUUACAAUGGCAAUGGAGGUGUUGCGUUGCUCGGAGAACAAAUCUUCUGCUCUUCAGAUCGGCUGAGGGGGGAGUUCGUCUCCCCUCAUUGAGGCUGGUCUAGUAGUCUUAAGAACAUA
rfam:Setaria italica strain Yugu1 chromosome IX, whole genome shotgun sequence.